rnacentral:lncRNA from 1 species
GGUGACAGAAUGAGAUCCCGUCUCAAAAAUAUAUAUUUUAAAAUAGAAUUAUUCUGUACCCUCUGUUCUCUGGCUUGCUUUGUAUCCUCUAUAGUGUCUUAAUGGCAUAGAUUUUUUUCAAGUUCACACAGAGCUUUUCUCAGCUAUUUCAUAGCCAGAAUAAAGCUGUGGCUAGAGAGGAAUGCCCUCUAGCUGGAGAAGGCAGUAUGAUGGAAUGCCAGCUUCCCAAACCAAAACGUGCUUAUGAACCACCUGGGGGCCUGCUUAACAUGCAGAUUCUGAUUCAGGAGGUCUGGGGUAGGACUUAGGAUGCUGUAUUCCUACUGUGCUCUCUGAGGAUGUGGAUGCUGUUGAUCUGCGGACCACACUUUGAGAAAUACACAGGUGACAGCUGUGGUGGAAAGAACUCCCAUCCAGGAAUCAAAACAUGUCUUCACAUUUUGGCCAUGGAACUUGGGGUAAGUUUCUAAACCUCUUAAUCUUUGUUCUUUUACAUAUAGAAAAAGAAAUCAUAAACAUCUGAACAUGCUAAGCUCAAAAUAUGGGUUUAUUAAAGUAUAGCUGAACUGAAAUCCAGUCAUGAUAGAAAGACUAGUUGAGGAAAGAAUAAUUCUAUCUCAUAUCCCCUAUUCUCCCCUGUCACUCCAGCAGAAGAAAAAAUCUGCCAUCAGAACAGGAAAGAAAGCUCACUAAAUAGCUUAUUUGCUAAAGAAGUCCAAGGUACUGAAUUUAGACAGGUAAAUUGAUCUAUUUUGCCUUUUCAAAGCAUUAAAUAAAAAAAGAACUAUAACCCUAAUGGACGGGAUCCCCUAGCUGUCUCUGCCCACCCUACAGCAGCUUGUGCCAAGUUCUUUCUGCUGGAGGCCAGGGAAGUAUGUAUAUGCCUCUAUAAGUUAGAAUAUCAGGCUUCCAGGUGCACCAGGGAUAGUUGUCAUGUUUGAUACAUGGUCGGUAGCAACUACUAUACUGGAUUUUAAGCACUACAUGCUCCUGGAUUUUUUGUUUUUGUUUUUUAGUGUGGCAUAUGGCUAAAGCAGGGAGGAGGAGAGUUUAGGGCUCUUGGAUGGGAGCGGAGAUGAGAAGAGUUAAUGCAUCAUCCAUGGCUUGAUAGUGAAGAUUCUGGCUUCCAAAGAUGAGCAAAGUUUUUCCACUUCCACAGCCCUUAGGCAGAGUAAGUCAUUUAAUCUUCAUAAAACUUGUGGCUGUAUUUUCUCCACUUUUUCAGCUGGAGAAGGCUUUCUAUCAGUCAGCUGGACUGCUCUUCCCCUUUCACAGGUCUUUUGUGCUUCGUGAGGAUCCUUCAAGUGUGGAACAGCUCACAAAGGAAAAGAUGGACACAGCCUUUGUCUGGGAAGGGACAUUCAGUCAGCCCCCUUUCCCCGUGGAGAUGUCUUGAUCCUUUUGGGUAUUUUUUUUGUCUCUAUUCAAAUCAAAAAGUGCUAAUAAAAUACCCAACACAGUGUUAAGGCACUAUGGCAGGAGGAGUAGAGUGAUAUGCAGGUUUUAUGCAUGCCCAAGUAUGAUAAAGUAUCAAGAAGGGACAGGCAAGGGUGGGCUUUAGGACAUGCACAGCUGAGAAGGAAUAGUUGUGGAAAGAUGCUGGCUCUGCAGACAGUGUGCCUCGGUUCCAGUGAUUAUUCAAGUGAUCUUGAAAAACACCUUAACCUAGCAAGACUUAGAUCUUUUAUCUGCAAGUGGAGAUAGUCAUCAUAGUUAUUUUACAGCUUUGACUUGUGGAUUAAAUGAAAGAUUGCAUGCAUUGUGCUUAUUGGCAAAUUUUUGAGUUUUUAUUAAAUUUUCACUCGUAUAAUUAUAGUUGAGAGUGGAUUUAUAGAGGGAGGUCGCUUUGGGUCUUGAAAAGGAGAAAAAUUACAGAAUGUGUUAGACCCAACUCCAGGGAGUCAUGGUUUUGGAAAAUAAAAAAAUACAUCUACAAUUUACCUUUUUCACUUUAGGGUACAAAGUUAGUAAAAAAAAAAUAAAAAAAAAACCAAAAAACAUAUUUGCCAAUCUGAAUUUGCCAAUCUGAAAUGUCUCAAGUAAGCUAUCCUUGUUAGCACAUUGAGGCUUGAACAUAAUUUCCCAAACCACAGAUCCACAGGCAAUAGUCUAGGAAUUUUUUUUUUUUUGAGAUGGAGUCUCGUUCUGUCC